CAUGGAGGGUGAGAAUCCCGUUCAUGGUUAAUCUUAAGGAAGCUCUACGAUACGUUUUCCAAGAGUCGAGUUGUUUGGGAUUGCAGCUCAAAAUGGGAGGUAAAUUUCUCCUAAGGCUAAAUAUUGGCGAGAGACCGAUAGCGAACAAGUACCGUGAGGGAAAGAUGAAAAGAACUUUGAAAAGAGAGUUAAACAGUACGUGAAAUUGUUGAAAGGGAAACGAUUGAAGUCAGUCAUACCAACGGGAAAUCAACCUUUUGAGCUCGGUCUCGUGGGUUUUGAAGAGUUUCAAAGCCUUCGGAUUCGCGGGAUUGGGAUCUCUUGGUGUACUUUUUCGUACGGUUAGUCAACAUCGGUUUUGAAUGUCAUAAAAUGACUGGAGGAAUGUAGCUUCGGUCUCGUAUCGGAGUGUUAUAGCCUUUGGUAGAUGUGAUGUUUGAGACCGAGGAUUGCAACGGAUACCCUUCAGGGCUAUUCGUCUGAUCUCUGAUACGUUGCCUUGAUGUUGAAAGCUUGCUUAUGAUGUUAGGGUAUUACGGUCAAAAGGUUAGAACGAAUUACAUUCGUUAAGGAUGUUGACGUAAUGG
rnacentral:rRNA from 1 species